GAACAAAGAAGAAUUUUUAAUGUUGAAGGAGUCAUCAGCAGUUGAAUAGGAACAAGUUCUCAAUGCUGGAAUUUCUGGAGGAGGCUGAUAGCUGUUAUGGGCAGAUAUAAGGUGGCAAACACAAGCUCCUGCUCUCUUUGAUCCAUCGGAGGAGAAUUAGUGAACAAGUUCCUGUCUCAAGCUUACUAGGAAAUAGCUGAGGUUGGGAAUCCAGAGCCAAUGUCAAAGUGAUUGCCAAAAUGGUUCAGCCACAAAAGCCAC
rnacentral:lncRNA from 1 species